rnacentral:rRNA from 1 species
AACGAACGCUGGCGGCAGGCUUAACACAUGCAAGUCGAACGCGUGUAGCAAUACACGAGUGGCGCACGGGUGAGUAACGCGUGGAUAUCUGCCUUUUGGUUCGGAAUAACCCCGGGAACUGGGGCUAAUACCGGAUGGUUCCUUCGGGAUAAAGACUUAUCGCCAAAAGAUGAGUCCGCGUCCGAUUAGCUAGUUGGUGAGGUAAUGGCUCACCAAGGCGACGAUCGGUAGCUGGCUGAGAGGACGAUCAGCCACACUGGGACUGAGACACGGCCCAGACUCCUACGGGAGGCAGCAGUGGGGAAUAUUGGACGAAUGGGGGCAACCCUGAUCCAGCCAUGCCGCGUGAGUGAUGAAGGCCUUCGGUUGUAAG